rnacentral:rRNA from 1 species
AGUGAACGCUGGCGGUAGGCCUAACACAUGCAAGUCGAACGGCAGCACAGGAGAGCUUGCUCUCUAGGUGGCGAGUGGCGGACGGGUGAGGAAUACAUCGGAAUCUGCCCAGUCGUGGGGGAUAACGUAGGGAAACUUACGCUAAUACCGCAUACGACCUUCGGGUGAAAGAGGGGGAUCGCAAGACCUCUCGCGAUUGGAUGAGCCGAUGUCGGAUUAGCUAGUUAGCGGGGUAAUGGCCCACCAAGGCGACGAUCCGUAGCUGGUCUGUGAGGAUGAUCAGCCACACUGGAACUGAGACACGGUCCAGACUCCUACGGGAGGCAGCAGUGGGGAAUAUUGGACAAUGGGCGAAAGCCUGAUCCAGCCAUACCGCGUGGGUGAAGAAGGACUUCGGGUUGUAAAGCCCUUUUGUUGGGAAAGAAAUCGUUCAGGCUAAUACCCUGGGAGGAUGACGGUACCCAAAGAAUAAGCACCGGCUAACUUCGUG